UACAGAGGGUGCGAGCGUUAAUCGGAAUUACUGGGCGUAAAGCGUGCGUAGACGGUUAUUUAAGUCGGGUGUGAAAGCCCCGGGCUCAACCUGGGAAUUGCAUUCGAGACUGAAUAGCUAGGGUACGGUAGAGGGAAGCGGAAUUUCCGGUGUAGCGGUGAAAUGCGUAGAUAUCGGAAGGAACAUCAGCGGCGAAGGCGGCUUUCUGGACCAAUACUGACGCUGAGACGCGAAAGCGUGGGGAGCAAACAGG
rnacentral:rRNA from 1 species